rnacentral:rRNA from 1 species
AGGAAAGUUUGGACAAUGGGCGAAAGCCUGAUCCAUCCAUGCCGCGUGCAGGAUCAAGGCCUCCUGGUUGUAAGCUGCUUUUGUACUGACCGAAGAGGUCUUUUCUAAUAAAGAAGACUCAUGACGGUACCGUAAGAAUAAGCACCGGCUAACUACGUGCCAGCAGCCGCGGUAAUACGUAGGGUGCAAGCGUUAAUCGGAAUUACUGGGCGUAAAGCGUGCGCAGGCGGUUAUAUAAGACAGAUGUGAAAUCCCCGGGCUCAACCUGGGAACUGCAUUAGUGACUGUAUAGCUAGAGUGCGGCAGAGGGGGAUGGAAGUCCGCGUGUAGAAGUGAAAUGCGUAGAUAUGCGGAGGAAAAACGAUGGCGAAGGCAAUCCCCUGGGCCUGCACUGACGCUCAUGCACGAAAGCGUGGGGAGCAAACA